rnacentral:rRNA from 1 species
UACGUAGGGUGCAAGCGUUGUCCGGAAUUAUUGGGCGUAAAGAGCUCGUAGGCGGUCUGUCGCGUCUGCCGUGAAAACCUGCAGCUUAACUGUGGGCCUGCGGUCGAUACGGGCAGACUUGAGUUCGGUAGGGGAGACUGGAAUUCCUGGUGCAGCGGUGAAAUGCGCAGAUAUCAGGAGGAACACCGGUGGCGAAGGCGGGUCUCUGGGCAACAACUGACGCUGAGGAGCGAAAGCGUGGGGAGCAAACGGG